rnacentral:tRNA from 1 species
UCUAUCCCCAAUAACCCA